UUUUGCAGUUCUUUCUGGGCAAGCUAACAACACAAACAGAGAGGUGCACAGUAAGAUCACAAUAAAGAUAAAUGAGACAAGCUCAAUUUUAUUGCGACUUAUGAGGGCUUUUAACCCAUAGUCACCACUAAUAGCCAGUAUCUAAAUCCAGCCUUCCUCUUAUUUCCAGUAAAGAGGAUCCCACUCAGCCAGAAGACAUAAUUUGGUUGCUACAACCACAUAGAUAUGAAUUAAAGAGAAAUAAAACACAUGAAUUUGAGAAUGUCAAGAAUCAAUGUCAAGAAUCAAGGUCUAUCAUAAUCUGGUCAUUGGUCAAAGUAGGAGUUGUUCAGGUUG
rnacentral:misc_RNA from 1 species